GUCUAUGACCAUGCCACCCUAAACAAGCCCAAUGUCUGAUCUUGGAAGCUAAGCAGGGUUGGGCCUGUUUAGUACUUGGAUGGGAGACCACCUAGAAAGACCAGGUGCUGUAGGCA
rnacentral:rRNA from 1 species